UACGAAGGGGGCUAGCGUUGUUCGGAAUUACUGGGCGUAAAGCGCACGUAGGCGGCUCUUUAAGUCGGAGGUGAAAUCCUGGAGCUCAACUCCAGAACUGCCUUCGAUACUGAAGAGCUCGAGUCCGGGAGAGGUGAGUGGAACUGCGAGUGUAGAGGUGAAAUUCGUAGAUAUUCGCAAGAACACCAGUGGCGAAGGCGGCUCACUGGCCCGGUACUGACGCUGAGGUGCGAAAGCGUGGGGAGCAAACAGG
rnacentral:rRNA from 1 species